CCUACGGGAGGCAGCAGUGGGGAAUAUUGGACAAUGGGCGGAAGCCUGAUCCAGCAAUGCCGCGUGUGUGAAGAAGGCCUGCGGGUUGUAAAGCACUUUCGUUGGGGAGGAAGGGUUUUGUUUUAAUAGAGCAAGACAUUGACGUUACCCAAAUAAGAAGCACCGGCUAACUCUGUGCCAGCAGCCGCGGU
rnacentral:rRNA from 1 species